rnacentral:lncRNA from 1 species
AUUUGAUGCCAUGAAAACUUGCUACAGCUUUUUUAUUUGGAAUACAGAGAGAAAGAAGGGUUGUUACACGACCGACCUAAACACACACCACGUUCCUAAUGACUCGUGCCAUCCCACGGAUCAGAUCGUGCGUGCAUGAUCUACGGCUCCACUAUUAUCACAUGUGAUCCAAUGUGCCAUGCCAUCCCAUGACUCAGUUCACAACACGGUAGAAAUGGGACCGACCCCAACCUGACACAUGGACUUGACGCAAACAUGCUUGUUGUCGAGACCGACUCUCAGUGCACACCACAUGCUUGCAUGCAGCUCUAUGGCGCGUUAUUUAGAACAAACAGAUUGAAGGAAAAAACUCUAGGGCAUGGAUCAGCCCUCGGUCCACAAAAACCAACAUCGCGAAGUUGUCUAAGUGGAUCUCGUCGUUCUCCGAGUCGAUCUCCUCGUUGUCUGAGUCAGAGAGGCAACCCAACACUUUUACAAAUUCCGAGGCGCCGCAGUGAAGCUAGACGACAAUGCAUGUGUUUUACAAAUUCACCAUGUGAAAUGAAUGCAUGUACUUCAAUGCUAUCAAUGUGUGUUAUGUAAAUUAAAGGUUUAUGCUGCAAUUUGGAUAUUUGAAUUCGUGUAAAAUAUGAUACAUAAAAUAAUCUAUUUAAUGCAUACUUUUUCUAUUGAUAUAUGAAUUAAAUGUGCAAAUGCUACCAUGGCAACAAAUACAUUGUCAUGUCAUUUCUUUUUGCCCAAAACAAAGUACUAGUGGCGCGCGAAAAUACAAGCACAUCACCAAUGCCCCAAAAUACUAGUGCUAUGCCAUUAGUAUUCUACAAUACUGUCGUGUGAAAGGCCCAGGCAUGACACUUGUAUGUCCCUUACUAGUGUCGUGCAGGUAGACAAGCCGCUAGUAAGUUACUCGCUCGUCGCUAGUAAUCACUUACCAACGACACUAUACAAGUGGUGUGCCAGCCGAACGCCGCUAGUAGGCACAUGCACAAGCUGCUAAUAAGGGUGUCAUGUAAGUUGGCGGUGGGAGCAACGAUGCUCAUGGGCGAAGCUCUUAGCUAAGGUGCAGGAUAGUGGCAAUGGCCACGCAGGAGGCGGGGUGACUGGGGUAUGGCGUUCAGUGGCGGUGAUGUGGCAGGUGUCUUCACGACUAGUUGUACUAUGUUGCAGAGGCUGCCCCCCCCCUUCGACAAGGCGCCACCUUGGAGUACAUAGCUCAUCAUGUGCGGCUUCAUCUCUUCGGAGUGACUUGUUCAUGGUUGAGGGCUCUAGUGACAUCAAGAAAUAUGCUCUCUAUCCGAUGAGCCAUUUUCUUGGAGCUUUCCUUUUUUUUUGAAAAGGAGAAUAACCCCUGACCUCUGCAUCGAACGUUGCACUCAUCCAUCUUUAUUAAAUUAUUAAACAGAGACUGACACAAUAAAUACAAGGAUCAAUCCGAAGCCACCUUUCUGAUAAACUCUGUCGCUACACCUAUAAGCUUGAUGAUGAACACUGACCGCACCAAAGCACAUCAUCUAAUCCGGUGGCCUCAUGAAGUCGCCGCCUGCGAGCCGAGAGCACCAACCGGCCUAGCAGACCCACAACACGCACCGCAUGCAUGCACUCUAGCAUCCCGCGCUGCCAUCUACCACCGUCCCAUCUUCAAGAGGGAUCCUUGCAUUGACCUUGCGAGGCCCAACUGCCGUCGACGCCGCCGCGACGCCAGAAAAUACCACCAGCCUACGCGCAUCCAUCAACCCACCUCCAACGCCAAUACUCCAUCGCGCCAUGCCGCUGAGACCCACCGUUUUUGAUGCGGUAGAUGCAACACCGCUCCACCUCUUGGCCCCUCCAGUCAGUACCUACUCCAAAAUAGUGCCCACAGGAGAGAGAAUGACACAAGUUUUCGUCAUCAUCCGACCAGGGAGACCCAGACCUAAGGUUUCUCCCGGAGCAGAUGCCUCCCGGAGGAAGAAGGGCACGCCAUCUGCAGUUGCCAACGAACCCAAAUGGUGCCCACCCACAACGAGUCAUUUCCUUUGAGUUGUGUUGUUGUUCUUCAUCAUCCUUGUAUAAUGCCUUGUGUGUGUGUGUGUGUUGCGGUAUCGUGUUGUAUUGUGUUGUAUGUGCUGAAUUGUAUGAUUUAUAUAAAGUGGAGCGGAAGUCUUUUUGAUAAACAAUAAGAUCAGUUGCCUCAUUUGAAACUUGAAAGUGCAUUUUUUUAUUUUGACAACUGAAGUUAGGGCCAAGGCCGACCUCAUGCGCAGGAAAAGGGACAAGCACACGGACAUCCCAUAUGUACCCAAGCUUUUUUGUUCUUUUGGUUGCUUGUUGAUUGCUUGCACUUAAUCCUACGAGAUUAUCAAUUGAUUAAUAUAUUUUCUUGAAUAAUGCGUUAUCAUCUGAUUUCUUGCUUAGAUCGGUUUGCUCUCUAUUUUCAAACAGUUUUGGUCUGGGCCUAUUUUGUUCAAUUGGAUAAUUCUGGUGCACAAAUUUAUCGAAUCGAAAUGAAUGAGUUUAUUUUCUUUUGUUUCCCUUUUUCUAGGAACCUAUUUGUUGGCAUUCAAUAGGACAUAUGUUUUUACAAACCUAACCGGAUAUACCAAAUGCUCACCUUUACUUAAUCGUGUCCCAACCAACCCUUGUCAUUGGUUGGUUUCACGAUGAAAAUCGACAUCAUUUGGGGUGAGGGGGGCACCACCUCGGUCACAAUGGCAUCCAGCGAUGGUCUGACCGAGGGCCAUCGUCGUACAUAGGUCACGCGCUUGUACCAUAACCUGAGUCACGAUAGUUCAUCCGGGUCAACAUAUCGGCCAUUGUGUUUAUUCCCAAAUUCGUGCACACCAUGCUGCAUAAUUGGUUCACCGCGGUUGACCUCCUUGCCAUUGGAGAUCGUUGCAUGCGGCGCACCGUUCUUCGGACUGUCCGACAUCUUCACACGGCCAAGAGAACGUGGGAUAAUAAAUAUUUGUCAACGACCCAAGAUUACCCCCGCAGUUAGCUGGACACAUCAGAGAUUUUACACUAGCAAACACAAGGCACACAUGGAAUUUGAUGCCAUGAAAGCUUGCUAUAGCCUUUUUAUUUGGAAUACAGAGAGAAAGAAGGGUCGUUGCACGACCGACCUAAACACACACCAUGUUCCUAAUGACUCGUGCCAUCCCAUGGAUCAGAUCGUGCGUGCAUGAUCUACAACUCCACUAUUAUUACGUGUGAUCCGAUGUGCCACGCCAUCCCAUGACUCGGUUCACGACGCGGUAGAAACGGGAGCGACCCCAACCUGACACAUGGACUCGACGCAAACAUGCUUGCCGUCGAGACCGACUCUCA